rnacentral:lncRNA from 1 species
CUUCCCAGCUUUGACAACAAGCUUCCCCAUUUCUUCUUUAUCACUCUACAACACAAAAAAGGUUAUGAUAAGAUUAACACAAAACAGAUGCUGAAGGAGACCGACGCCGAAGGAGAGAAGAGAGAAGAUAGGGAGAGAUCGACGCAGAAGGAGACCAAAGUCAAGAAUAGAAGUCAUGAAAGCCGAAGCUAAAAGACGUAUUAGCUUUUCUUCUUUUUUGGCCGUUCCACAUUGACAACAUUUGGCUUAAAGAAGACAGAAGAUGCAAGAUUAAUGAAAAGCUUUGAAGAACAUUAGAAUCCAAGAGAGUAACAGGGAUAGACUCGGUCUCCUUCAAUGAUAAAAGGAGGUGAUUCGAGAGCUAAUGAAGAGGAUUCAAAUAAGACUAUUUAGAAAAUAGAAAAGAGAGUGGAAAUGAAAAAAAGGCUACUCUUUGUAAGAAAACCCGAAAGAGAAUAAACAAAGGCAUAAUUUAGGGUGACUAUAGAUAAAUUAAU